rnacentral:rRNA from 1 species
UUUUUUUACCAUAUCACCCCGUGGGUCUCACCUGGUUUCCCACUGAAGCUAAGCAGGGUAGAGCCUGGCCAGUACCUGGAUGGAAGACCUCCUGGUGAAAACUAAGGCUGCUGCUGGAA